AUUGAACGCUGGCGGCAGGCCUAACACAUGCAAGUCGAACGAGUGGCGGACGGGUGAGUAAUGUCUGGGAACCUGCCUGAUGGCGGGGGAUAACUACUGGAAACGGUAGCUAAUACCGCAUACCAUCAGAUGUGCCCAUAUGGGAUUAGCUAGUUGGUGGGGUAAAGGCUCACCAAGGCGACGAUCCCUAGCUGGUCUGAGAGGAUGACAAGCCACACUGGAACUGAGACACGGCCCAGACUCCUACGGGAGGAAGCAGGGGGGAAUAUUGGACAAUGGGGGCAAGCCUGAUGCAGCCAUGCCGCGUGUAUGAAGAAGGCCUUCGGGUUGUAAAGUACUUUUGGCGGGGAGGCGGUAUCGGCAGAAGAAGCACCGGCUAACUACGUGCCAGCAGCCGCGGUAAUAC
rnacentral:rRNA from 1 species